GCAUUUACAAUUAUGUGUGCUUCUGCAGUUUGUGCAAGCCUAUCAAGAUUGAUAUGAAUAUGCAUUAAUGAUCUAAUAUACGUAAAUUUCCAGAUACUAUUUUAUUCUCCAAGAUAGUUCCAGAUGGAAGAUCUAUACGUUCUCCAUGAUUAGCAAUAAUGAUGACAGUACCUUUCAAGCAAACACCUUUACCAAAUGUUACGUCACCUGAUACUGUUAAAUGAUCCAAUUCCAAAAGAUCUGGUAUUGUUGGAAAUCUGGUAAGAAAUUCUUUUACCUAUAAAAAAAAUAGAAUAACGUUACAUCUUAUGUUUCUUUGAUAAUUAUUAAAAAUUAAUUUAUAAUACAUCUAAACCAUUCUAAAAUGAAUGAAAUAAAUGUACCUUCGAAAAAUGAUUAUCACCCAGUUUUAUAAGAGGUGUAGUGGGAAACAUCCGUUGUGGACUCAUUACUAAAGAUCCAUUACGAAGUAUGUAAAGAUUACUCAUCACAAGCAUUAAAUCAGAUGUUUUCUUAACAGGUAAAAAUCUGCUACGUGGUACAUUUAUACCUAUGAAAGACAUUAGAUUAUAAUUAUAAAUAAUUAUAGAUAUAUUCGUAGUAUAUUCAUUUUUUCUUGUACUUACCAAUACUUCCCUCAAAAGAUUUCAUUGCAGCACCCACAGCUGUUUCCAGUUGAAUAAUAUUUAAACCAUUAGGUUGUGUUUUGUUAUUAACAAUAAUUUCCAUAUUGAGCGAACUAUUUUCUAAUACUCUCUCGAUAGCUGCAAACAUAAAAAAUGUAUUGAAAAUAUAAAAGAAUUGAUGGUAUUUACUCAUUUUAUCAUAUGAACUAUUAUAUACCAUCAAGUUUAACCCAAAGAUUGUUAGUAUUAAAAAAUUUAAAUGUUUGCACGGAUUUAAACUCAUCUACAUGAUCUUUAGGAACUUGUGCAAUUUCUAAAAGUCGAAGUUUAUCUUCAUAUUGAAUAAGUGUUCCACCCUAUAAAAAAAUUUGAUGAAAAUGAGGAUUCUGCAUAUUAUAAAAAAUAAAUAGACUGUUAAUUACUAUAUUCCAGAAAAAAGUUACCUUAACAUCUGCUCUGGUUUUAUCUGUUACUUCCAUAACAAAUUCAGGAGAGGAGCUAUGCCCUUUAUCUAGUAGCAACUUUAAUAUUCUUAAAUCUACAGUUGCACCUAAAUUAUCAAUAUUCGAAAUAAAGCAAUAUUCACGACCCUGCACAAAUAAUAAUGUAAUUAAUAUUAAACAAAUUAAAAAUAAUAAUAUACGUAUAAUAAAUUUUAGUCAAAUAUACCUCCUUAAUGAAUCUUUUAAGUAGACCAGAAUUUUUAAAGCUUUCAUAGAAAUCUCCAUGACCAGGUGGAUACCAACUAUAAAUAAAAUUUGUUAGUAUUUAACAUAAUUAAAAGAUAAGUUAUACAAAAUAUAUAAUAUAUAUAGUAUUCAUAUAUAUAUUAAAUAUAUAAAUAGAUAAAAUCAUACGCUUCCAUAUCUUGAUUUACAUUGCAAUGUUUUGCAAGAGGAAGAAACGAUUCUCUAUUAAUACGAGGAUAGCAACUUUGAUUAAAAGUAUGAAUAGCAACAUCUAUUCCUUUAUAUUUUCUGAUGAUUCGUUGGGUAUCCUCAUCUGUGUUGAAGGAGUUCAUCAAAACAAGUGGCACAUUCGCAUUAUAUGUUCUAUUUAAGUACUGUUCAAAUGAAAAACCUCAGAUUAGAUAUUUAUUAUUGAAAAAAAGUUAAAUUAAAUUAUAAUUAUUAUCAGAAAAUUAUUAUGUCUACCUCGAUUUGUUGAACAGUUAAAUCAAGAAAUGUCAAUCCAUUGCGAACUGCUAUCACUGAUUUUGGUCCAUGACAACCCAUACUUGUACCUAGUCCACCAUUCAAUUUAACAACUAUUAGUUUACUUAACAUAGCCUUGAUUUCUUCAUUGCUAGGAUCAGAAAGGCUAUUAUAAUUAUGUAUCUAAAAAUAAUCAAACAUUCAAAUUAAAAUAUUAAAUUAGAUAUUUUUAAUAUGAGAAAAAUAUUCUAAAUAAAAAUUACGAUGAUACAUACAGCAUUUUCCGGUAAUUUUUGAAUACGAUCCCAUUCUAACGAUGGUCCUUCUUCUUCUAGAAAUCGUUUGAAAAGAUUCGCAAAUCCUUCAAAUUGCCUGCUAAAUUCUUCUUUUCUAUUUUCGGGGGCAGUGCCCGUUAAUUUUUGUAAUUCCUGCUGUAAUUCAUUCUCGGCAUCUCUUUUUGUUCGUUGACGAAAUGCCUGUGUAUCUGAAGGACUACGUUGAUGACCACGUGCCUAUUUUUUGUAAUUACAUAACAUAUAAAAAAAAAGUCAAAUUAAUAUUACCUUUCGUCUUCAUAUAAAUAACUAUUUCAGCUUCCUUAUUAUACAGAAGGUUUAAACACGAAAUCUCGCACAUGAUGAUCGUUUAAAAAUACGUUGUAAAAAUAACGUGGUACGAAUGUUAUAAGUUGUGUUCGUAAGGAGCUUAUAUGUAUAUAUAUAAAAAAAAAAAAAAAAAUAAUAAUUAGUAUAAUUAUUCUCAAAAUUCGAUAAAAUUCUUAGUGUGUUGCGAUUAGAGAUUUCAUUUAUAAUAGCAUGUCAUUAAAAUUAAAAGCAUACGUAACUAUGUCAUUAUAAAUAAGCAUAGUAAAUAAUUUUGUUUCUUCAUUCAAAUAUUCACAUGCCUAGCUUCCGACUAUUCUUGAUUCAUAAAAAUCUUUACUAUAUUUUAAAUGUACUCUGUAUAUGUCUGUGUGCGCGCGCGAAUAUAGCUUAUCGUUUUAUUCGAUCUAUAUAGAUUACUUUUUAUUAAAAUAAUAGUUUUAUGCAAGUGCAGCACAAUCAUGUAUACAACUUGCUCCAUUAUCUCAAAAUAUAAUAUUUAUUUUAUAACAUCAAACAAGUAUAUAAUUCGAAUAUUCCAUUUUAAAAAGUUACACAACAUUAUAAAACUAUAUUUGAAUAUUACGUAUUUGACAUUUUGUUUAUAUAUAAAAUAUUUAAGAUCAAUGAUCAUUUUCCUCGCGUAUCUCGUCAAUUUAUAUUAUAUAAUAUCAGAUGAUUAAUGUUUCUUGUACCGUGUACUUAACAAUCGCAAACAUUUCGAUCACAAUAGAAUAGAAUAGAAUAGAAUAGAAUAAAAAUAUUUUAUAUAUUAAUGCUACUAGUUCAUUGUAUGUGAUAAAAAUUAUAUGCAUACACUGACAACAUAAAUUCGUUUGACUGUUAAUAUUUUUUUAUAAAAUUUUUUAAUGAACUUAAGAUAUAAUUAAUUCCUUACCGUUGAUAUAAUUUCAUUAUAUUUAUUAAUUAUUUUAUUAAACAGUAUCACAUGUUUUUAUUCUAAAAUUAUUGUAACGAUAUAAUAAAUAGACCGAUAGAUAAGUUAAUUAGUACGAAAUAUAACAUGAGAGAUAUAUGUAUGAAAAUUUAUUUCUAUCACAGUCAUACGCGGCAUCUUAUUACUGUUCAUUCAUCUGUUCAGUUAACAUUACGGAAUUAUCAAAUAUGCAAAUCAAUUAACGUUUUUCAAAUACCGAUUUGAAUUUAAACAUGAAACAAUUGGCCUUUUUUUUAUCGAGAUAUAAUCUUGAUAACGUGCGAUAAUGCGAAUAAUGUUCUAAAAAUAGGAGAAUUAAAAAAGCGCGAAAAAGCAUGGGAAAAAAGCAUGAUGCACAUCUUUGGAUAUUUAUAUAAGCACGGAAAAAAAAAAAAAAAAAAAAAAAAGGAAAGAAAACAAAAAUUGAAAACAAAAAAAAUUAUUGUCAACUCAUGAAGUCUAUAAUAAUAAAAGUCAUUACAAACGAUCGUGUUCUAAUAAAUAUAAUAUAGACGAUUUUUCGUAACGCAUUAUAUCGAGAAAUGUCAUGAAAUGAUGAAAAUUUGUAGUCUCAAUCUGAGACUUACUUGUAAGAGGUAUUCAAUCAUCGCGUCUUCUUUGACGCUCUUCUCGUCAAUUCGAAAGAAAGUUUUAUUUUUUUUCAAUGCCUUCACGGACUGCAGUGACGCAACGACGAUACGACGAUACAAGUAGGAGACUAUUCCGCACGGCGCGAAUGCAUGAAGGAACGGACGAUAGUGACACGUGACAAAACGUACUUCUAACGAGCUAAUUUAUGACUGCACGACAACACGUUGUUGCGUUAACUGAAAGAGUACCAAUCAACCGCUUAUCACGUCGUCUUCGGAAGGGAGAAGAGUAAGGAACAACAGCAAGUUCUAUCGAGAUCGGUUGAGAACGAAAAUAAAAAGGAAAUGUAUGGACCAAACGGCUAUAGCCAAUCAGUUGACCUUCUUCAUAAGUUAUCUUCAACCGCGAUAUCGGUUAUCGCAAAUAACAUUUGAAUCUUUUCUUGAUUUUCUACGAUUCUUCUAUCCUCUUAUCUUACAAAACUUGAACUAAGAUCCGUGGAUCCCUCACUCCUUCCUCUUUUUAUUUCAUAAUUCUUUUUUUUUUUUU